rnacentral:tRNA from 1 species
UUCCUGGUGGUCCAGUGGUUAGAACUCUGUGCUUCCACUGCAGUGGACACAGGUUUGAUUCCUGGUCAGGGAA